GGGCGGGACACGUGGUAUCCUGUCUGAAUAUGGGGGGACCAUCCUCCAAGGCUAAAUACUCCUGACUGACCGAUAGUGAACCAGUACCGUGAGGGAAAGGCGAAAAGAACCCCGGCGAGGGGAGUGAAAAAGAACCUGAAACCGUGUACGUACAAGCAGUGGGAGCCUCUUUAUGGGGUGACUGCGUACCUUUUGUAUAAUGGGUCAGCGACUUAUAUUCUGUAGCAAGGUUAACCGAAUAGGGGAGCCGAAGGGAAACCGAGUCUUAACUGGGCGUUAAGUUGCAGGGUAUAGACCCGAAACCCGGUGAUCUAGCCAUGGGCAGGUUGAAGGUUGGGUAACACUAACUGGAGGACCGAACCGACUAAUGUUGAAAAAUUAGCGGAUGACUUGUGGCUGGGGGUGAAAGGCCAAUCAAACCGGGAGAUAGCUGGUUCUCCCCGAAAGCUAUUUAGGUAGCGCCUCGUGAAUUCAUCUCCGGGGGUAGAGCACUGUUUCGGCAAGGGGGUCAUCCCGACUUACCAACCCGAUGCAAACUGCGAAUACCGGAGAAUGUUAUCACGGGAGACACACGGCGGGUGCUAACGUCCGUCGUGAAGAGGGAAACAACCCAGACCGCCAGCUAAGGUCCCAAAGUCAUGGUUAAGUGGGAAACGAUGUGGGAAGGCCCAGACAGCCAGGAUGUUGGCUUAGAAGCAGCCAUCAUUUAAAGAAAGCGUAAUAGCUCACUGGUCGAGUCGGCCUGCGCGGAAGAUGUAACGGGGCUAAACCAUG
rnacentral:rRNA from 1 species